GGCCCGUUGGUCAAGGGGUUAAGACGCGUCCCUUUCACGGACGAAUCAGGGGUUCGAUUCCCCUACGGGCUACAA
rnacentral:tRNA from 1 species